GCCCCCGUUGUCUAAUGGCUAUGACGUCAGACUUCUACGAUUCACGGUCCUGUGGACUUGAACCUGAAGAAAAAUAGACAUCUGGAGGUUGCGGGUUCGAGUCCCGCCGGGGGUA